rnacentral:rRNA from 1 species
UACGUAGGUGGCGAGCGUUGUCCGGAUUUACUGGGCGUAAAGGGCGUGCAGGCGGUCUGCUAAGUCUAGGGUGAAAGCUCCCGGCUCAACUGGGAGAGGUCCUUGGAUACUGACAGACUUGAGGGAGGCAGAGGAGAAUGGAAUUCCCGGUGUAGUGGUGAUAUGCGUAGAUAUCGGGAGGAACACCAGUGGCGAAGGCGACUACCUGGCCUGUUCUUGACGCUGAGGCGCGAAAGCUAGGGGAGCAAACGGG